rnacentral:rRNA from 1 species
GACGAACGCUGGCGGCGUGCUUAACACAUGCAAGUCGAACGGAAAGGCCCUGCUUUUGUGGGGUGCUCGAGUGGCGAACGGGUGAGUAACACGUGAGUAACCUGCCCUUGACUUUGGGAUAACUUCAGGAAACUGGGGCUAAUACCGGAUAGGAGCUCCUGCUGCAUGGUGGGGGUUGGAAAGUUUCGGCGGUUGGGGAUGGACUCGCGGCUUAUCAGCUUGUUGGUGGGGUAGUGGCUUACCAAGGCUUUGACGGGUAGCCGGCCUGAGAGGGUGACCGGCCACAUUGGGACUGAGAUACGGCCCAGACUCCUACGGGAGGCAGCAGUGGGGAAUACUGCACAAUGGGCGGAAGCCUGAUGCAGCAACGCCGCGUGCGGGAUGACGGCCUUCGGGUUGUAAACCGCUUUCGCCUGUGACGAAGCGUGAGUGACGGUAAUGGGCAAAGAAGCACCGGCUAACUACGUGCCAGCAGCCGCGGUGAUACGUAGGGUGCGAGCGUUGUCCGGAUUUUAUGGGCGUAAGGGCUCGUAGGUGGUUGAUCGCGUCGGAAGUGUAAUCUUGGGGCUUAACCCUGAGCGUGCUUUCGAUACGGGUUGACUUGAGGAAGGUAGGGGAGAAUGGAAUUCCUGGUGGAGCGGUGGAAUGCGCAGAUAUCAGGAGGAACACCAGUGGCGAAGGCGGUUCUCUGGGCCUUUCCUGACGCUGAGGAGCGAAAGCGUGGGGAGCGAACAGGCUUAGAUACCCUGGUAGUCCACGCUGUAAACGGUGGGUACUAGGUGUGGGGUCCAUUCCACGGGUUCCGCGCCGUAGCUAACGCUUUAAGUACCCCGCCUGGGGAGUACGGCCGCAAGGCUAAAACUCAAAGGAAUUGACGGGGCCCCGCACAAGCGGCGGAGCAUGCGGAUUAAUUCGAUGCAACGCGUAGAACCUUACCUGGGUUUGACAUGGAUCGGGAGUGCUCAGAGAUGGGUGUGCCUCUUUUGGGGUCGGUUCACAGGUGGUGCAUGGCUGUCGUCAGCUCGUGUCGUGAGAUGUUGGGUUAAGUCCCGCAACGAGCGCAACCCUUGUUCACUGUUGCCAGCACGUUAUGGUGGGGACUCAGUGGAGACCGCCGGGGUCAACUCGGAGGAAGGUGGGGAUGACGUCAAGUCAUCAUGCCCCUUAUGUCCAGGGCUUCACGCAUGCUACAAUGGCUGGUACAGAGAGUGGCGAGCCUGUGAGGGUGAGCGAAUCUCGGAAAGCCGGUCUCAGUUCGGAUUGGGGUCUGCAACUCGACCUCAUGAAGUCGGAGUCGCUAGUAAUCGCAGAUCAGCAACGCUGCGGUGAAUACGUUCCCGGG